AGAGUUUGAUCAUGGCUCAGAUUGAACGCUGGCGGCGUGCCUAACACAUGCAAGUCGAGCGGUAACAGGUGUAGCAAUACAUGCUGACGAGCGGCGGACGGGUGAGCAAUGUUUGGGAAUCUGCCUAUUAGUGGGGGACAACCCGGGGAAACUCGGGCUAAUACCGCAUACGAUCUACGGAUGAAAGCCGGGGACCGCAAGGCCUGGCGCUAAUAGAUGAGCCCAAAUCGGAUUAGCUAGUUGGUGGGGUAACGGCCUACCAAGGCGACGAUCCGUAGCUGGUUUGAGAGAACGACCAGCCACACCGGAACUGAGACACGGUCCGGACUCCUACGGGAGGCAGCAGUGGGGAAUAUUGGACAAUGGGGGCAACCCUGAUCCAGCGACGCCGCGUGGGUGAAGAAGGCCUGCGGGUUGUAAAGCCCUUUCGGUGGGGAUGAAAAGCCUUGGUUUAACACACCAGGGUCUUGACCUAACCCAAGAAAGAAGCACCGGCUAACUCUGUGCCAGCAGCCGCGGUAAUACAGAGGGUGCGAGCGUUAAUCGGAAUUACUGGACGUAAAGCGCACGUAGGUGGCUUUGCAAGUCGAUUGUGAAAUCCCCGGGCUUAACCUGGGAACUGCAGUCGAGACUGCUUUGCUUGAGUAUGGGAGAGGGAGGUGGAAUUUCCGGUGUAGCGGUGAAAUGCGUAGAUAUCGGAAGGAACAUCAGUGGCGAAAGCGACCUCCUGGACCAAUACUGACACUCAAGUGCGAAAGCGUGGGGAGCAAACAGGAUUAGAUACCCUAGUAGUCC
rnacentral:rRNA from 1 species